GAGCUCAGCUGCUCACCGCACCCAUCAAGGUCAGCUGCUCUGCCAGCAGCUUGGGAGAGAAGGCUAAGAGCACCUUCUGCAAGGACCUGUCCUCGUCAGCGGCAGCAGAGAGGCAGGAGUGCUGUGGAGCUGGCUUCUGCUUCUCUCCUGUCUCCAGAGGAGGCUCCUUGUCUGGUGCUGGCUCUGGCUGCAGAGCAGGCCCAUGGUGUUCUGGACAUGGAGCCGGAGCUAGGAGGAGGAAAGCUCAGCAGUGUCAGUCACUUGCCAGUUCCCUGCGGAGCAUAGAAAAGACAUCCUGGCCAUUUGGGGGAUUCCAAUGCCCAACCAAAAGCCAUGAAAGCCUUCCGGACUGCUGUGGCCCUCACCAUCUGUUUCGGCCUCGUGGGGCUCUAGAUAUUCCACCUGAGCAAGGGGAAGGCACAAGGGAGGCUCCAUGUCUGCUCCAGGUUGGUUAUGAAUAAAUCCUUUACACAAACCCAAUCAGAACAAACGUGAAGAAUGUUAUUUGAAAUGAUGUAAAUGAGAGCCUUCUCAUCUUGGGAAAUCAUCUGAGAGCUGCUACGGCCCGAGGGAAGCCUGGAAUAGAUAAGAGAAGGUAUGCCUAAGAACCCAGAAGUGGAGCCAGGUCUGAGGAAGGAGAACAACACGGUGAAUGCUGGAAGUUUU
rnacentral:lncRNA from 1 species